UCUUCUUCUAUUAUGGAUUCGCCUCUGGCCUCGGGGCACACAAAAAAAAAUUAGUGUUGGUGGUUUGUUGGAAACACACAAAUCUCCAUUUUGUCAAAAUCCAAAUCGUAUUUGAAGAAACUCUUUGAAGACAAAACCUUUCCCUCCUCAUUGUGAAGCUUUCAAGCAAACUCACUUGAGUCAUUUGCCAUCCUUGCAAAAUCAUCUUCUUCUUCGAAAUUGCCGACUCUACUCCAAAGGUACACUGAAAGAGUCAUUCGCCAUCCUCGCAAAAUCAUCUUCUUCUUCGAAAUUGCCGACUCUUCUCCAAAGAUACACUGAAAGAGGUAUAGGUUGGCCAAAGAUACACUGAAAGAGUCAUUCGUCAUCCUCGCAAAAUUAUCUUAUUCUUCGAAAUUGCCGACUCUACUCCAAAGAUACACUGAAAGAGUUUCUUACAUGAAAUUCUAUCACUGCGACUAUCCGGUAAAAAUCCAAGUUGGGAUGGGACCGGCCAGCAAAUUACGCUACCCAUCAUACCCAGAGCAAAAUGGUACAUGAAAAAUUCAAGGAAUUGGUGUUUUUCAAUGUUAUGACAAGAUAAUACUCGAGUUCGUUCCACCAACUGUUACCCUGACGACAGAAACGUCGUUAAACUUCUCUGACCGACAGCAUACAACCCUAUCUCAAGUAGGGCUACAUAUAUGGGGAGAGUGGUAGGACAAGUAGGAGAGUUGGGGCAGUACUUUUCGUGGUUGGAUCUGACUACUGAUGAGACUAGUCUCUCUAUGGCUGAUGAGGAGGAAGAAGUUACUUCGAGGAGAGAUACUACGUCAGAAGGAACUUGUGUAGUGUGUGGAGGUCACCCUUAUUAUUGUAGUUAUUAGUGGAUGAUCAGAUUAGGUUUUUUGUUGUAUAAGGCCUUAAUGUCUUUCUUUUGGUAGUUGUACAUAUUUUGUUUUGGAAUGACUAUAUCUAUAACAUACCUUGACAGAUGACUUUUUUGUGGGUCCAUGUUCUAUUUUUUUUUUUGUGACCAUGGGGGUACUUCUGCGUAGGUGUAUGUCGAGUAUAUCUCAAGGGUAUGAACGAUAUUUGAUAUGUCUCAUAGUUCCGGUGUAUUUUA